rnacentral:rRNA from 2 species
GGCACCUCGAUGUCGGCUCAUCACAUCCUGGGGCUGAAGUAGGUCCCAAGGGUAUGGCUGUUCGCCAUUUAAAGUGGUACGCGAGCUGGGUUUAGAACGUCGUGAGACAGUUCGGUCCCUAUCUGCCGUGGGCGCUGGAGAAUUGAGGGGGGCUGCUCCUAGUACGAGAGGACCGGAGUGGACGCAUCACUGGUGUUCGGGUUGUCAUGCCAAUGGCACUGCCCGGUAGCUAAAUGCGGAAGAGAUAAGUGCUGAAAGCAUCUAAGCACGAAACUUGCCCCGAGAUGAGUUCUCCCUGAGACUUUAAGUCUCCUGAAGGAACGUUGAAGACGACGACGUUGAUAGGCCGGGUGUGUAAGCGCAGCGAUGCGUUGAGCUAACCGGUACUAAUGAACCGUGAGGCUUAACCUUACAACGCCGAAG